AAUCUACCUGGACGCAUCUGCCUCCUCGGCUCAACCCUGGCCUGUGCCCAGGCCGAGCCAAAUCCCCCCGCCGCCACACCACUUGCCCCCGCCGUCGACCUCAACCCGCCCGCCGCCGCGGCCGCACCUCUGCCCACUCGCCGCCCCCGCCGCAGCGCUCGAGCGCAGCUUCUGGAUCAGGUCAACGCGGCGGCUCGAGUGGCUGGGGACGACGCGUCUGAUCGAUGCAGAACGGUGGCGGCGGGAUCCAGCGGGCGCGGGAGGAGGGAUCCGGCGCGGUGGCGCGAAGCCCUUGCAGGUGGAGGCGAUCCUUCAUGGCUGGUAGGGAGGGGUCCAAGGUCAUGGCAGGGCUUCGGUUUUUCUGGUAGAAAACAGAGAUAGAGGAGGAUCCAGGGAGGAGAAGAAGGAAGGGGAAGAAGGAAGGGUGCGACAGGGGUGAGUGUGCUGCCGCCUGCCGCGCCCAAGGCUUGAUCUACCGCCGCCUCUCCUCUUCCUAUGCUGGCUGCGACACGUCAGAUCUCGAGCCGCUGGCACUUCUCCACUGUCCAUGGGCCAUGGCUGCUCUGAUGCAUCAAAUCCCUCAGCUUCCCGGCGCCUCUCCAUCUCUUCCAGGUUGAUUUACAACGGGGACCGUCCAUAACAAAGGUUGCACAUUGAUCUGCUGUAACAUUGGCUGGGUGUUCUCUCCUCGACUCUACUAACACUCUGGAGUUACAAGCAAUUACAUCAGGAGCUCAAUCAAAAAUCACCUAAGCAAAUAUGUCUCUUCUCUAUAAGGGUUGCAUGUGGAAUUUGAGGAGAAUCUGUGCACCUCAUUGGACUCCUUGAUGUUGCUCUGAUCAUAUUGUGUAAAUAUAUUUCUAAUAAAGCAAUUGCUCGAUGGUGUACAUGUUAGAAAUAACAAGAUGUAAUCAUCAAAUGUGAGAGAUGGCAACAUCAGAUGGGAUGGUAUGUACUGUUGUGAUCGUCAAUAGGUUAGUCUUUCAUUCUGUUGCAGCCAGUAUGUUUUUUGUUAUGGAAAUAAUUACGAAAUAUCUAAUUUCUAUGUACGUCCUAUAUAUAUAUAUAUAUAUUUGGAUUUGUUAACGGUCACUGCGUCUGGUCUUUCCCGAGCCUCUGAUUGUGAUUCGUGUUCUUUUGCUAUGCACAUUGGAAUUUGGGAAUGUUACCAACGAUUGGAGUUAACACUAUUCAUUCUCUGAAUGGAUGGAACAUUAUGUGUUAUCAAUUGCAGAGACUGACAGCCUUCUCAUAUGAUGUAUAGGUAUCUUACCAGAGAGAAAAUACGAGGAAAAGCUCUAGAUGUUGUUGCUAAUUUUCACUUGCAAAAUGGAGCAGUGAGCUACCCACUGUCACCCCAUUCAGUUUUAACUUUAAAUCUUGAUCCUGAGUAUUGGAUGCGGCUGUUUGGGCUCAGACUUAAGAAAUAAGAUUUUUUUUUCUUUGGUCUUCUACCUGAAAUUAGAAUUCUAAUACUUGUCCCAGAACCACAUUGUAAUUUUGUUUUCUAACAUGUUGUACUGUUGCGUUUCUCUGUAUGAACUUUGGCUUAAUUAUAUUGACUUUCAAGGAGUAUCUAUUUGAAACAAUUCAGUGGACAUUACUAACAGCUGAACACCACUUUUAUUUUAUGGUAGAUGGUUGAGAGAAUAAACUGGAUGACCCACAAAUCCGAGAAGGGCAUUGAACAAAGUGGAGGUUGGACGAUAUAGAAGAAUAUGCAUCGUUUUAUUUGGCUACAGGGAUUAUCCAUACGUCACCUAGCCUCUCCUAACAUGUUGAGGCUAUAGCUCUGUGCUUGGCUGGUAUGAGAUUCUACAUCUUAUGCUAUGGCAAUGACCUUUUUCCUCUGUUGUACUUCAGUGUUAUUACCGGUGUUUUCAUUCUAUCUUCAAUAAACUGCCGGCAUAUUAACAUCAUCUUUUUUGCGAACAAUAUUAACAUCAUAUUGACAUAGUUGCAGUGUGAAAUCUCUGGAGUUAGAUCUUAAAUAGUUUGUGCCUUUCUUUUGCCCGGUGCAACGCACGGGCAUUUGUACUAGUAAUAAUAAAGCACGGAUUGACUCCGUGGGUUCACCGUCAUAAUACGCUUUUUCCCGUGAAUUUACGCUUUCAGUUUUUUCACCUAUAUUAUUUUCUAUAUCCGAGGUGGUACUAUUUUACCUGCGUAUCUAUACCUAAUACGUGUCAAUAAAAGUGAGACAGGCCUGGUAAAAGACUCUUCGUGAGCGAAUCAACCUAUGGUUGAGUUGGUUAGGUGGACAGUGGUAUCCCCAACCCACCAGGUUCAAAUCCUGGUGCUCGCAUUAUUCCUGGAUUUAUUUCAGGAUUUCCGGCGAUGCGCUUUCAGUGGGAGGAGACGCUCCCGUCGACGACGAGGCGCCUACGGUGACUUCGUAAAUCUCAAGAUGAUAUGCCGGCUCAGUCUCUCGGAGGUGCUCAUAGGGGUAGGGUGUGCGUAUAAUUAUUUAGAACAAGCAUCAAGAGUCAUCAGGUUGAGGAAGAGCUCGCGUGCCCAAUUUGUCGGCGGGGUCGUCCGCUGCAUGACGUAGACACUCCAACAAGGUUGAGUUGGCGGCUAAGCUUUGCAACGAGGAGCGCUCCGACACAAAAUCAGCAUGGCAAAUUGGGGAGUCCAUGGAGGAGACUGUCGGGCGAGCCAAAGCCAAGAGGAGUCGGGAUCAUAUGGAGGCGCGCAAUCAGGGAAUGAAGCGACUGGAACGGCAAACAUCUGUGUGGCGUAGAGCCAGCAGGUGGGUAUGGACUUACUCCGGACUGGUGUCAGCAGUGGAGAUCAUUGACUAAGGCUUCAGAUAUAGAUGCAUUCGAUUUUCUAUGUGCUAGAGUACGGGCUUCGGCUUCAUCUUUUUCAUGAUCCUAAUGGAUAGAGUCUUAUCGGAGGAUAUUGUGUUUUGGUGCUAGGUGGUGGUCUGUGUGUUUGUGUCUUUGGGUUGCUUGUUGGCCUGCGCGCCACUUAUGCUUGGCCUGCGUGACAUGUAACACUUAAACUUAGUCCUUGGUUGUGUCCGGUUUGUGAUAUGGUUGUGAUCAUGUUGAACUCUGUAUGGUGGCUUUAUUUGUAAAGUCAGGCAUAUGACUUUCCUCU